rnacentral:rRNA from 1 species
ACGACUCUCGGCAACGGAUAUCUCGGCUCUCGCAUCGAUGAAGAACGCAGCGAAAUGCGAUACUUGGUGUGAAUUGCAGAAUCCCGUGAACCAUCGAGUCUUUGAACGCAAGUUGCGCCCGAGGCCUACUGGCCGAGGGCACGUCCGCCUGGGUGUCACGC